UGUCGAUGAAGAGCGCAGCAAACUGUGUGAAUUAAUGUGAACUGCAACCUGCCAUGAACAUCGACAACUUGAUUGCACAUUGCGGCCAUGGGUUAGCCUGUGGCCACGUCUGUCCGAGAGUCG
rnacentral:rRNA from 2 species